UCACAAACCCAAGGCAUAGAAGGCCAGAGAGAAGACUUUGUCUGACCAGUUUGAGGCUAAGCGUGCUAAGAACAAGGAUAGCAGAGAAAGGAAGCAUGCUUGGAGGGAGGAGCGUUUGGAAGCGGGACCCGUCGAUAAAGUGGCAGCACCCACACCUGCACCUCAAGCAGCUACCGGGGCACCAAAGAAAUCCAAGAAAUGAGCAAACUGUUCAGAAGUAAUAUCAUUGAUCAGUACGUAGAACUAGCGUUUUAUUAUAAUAGUGAACUUUUUUUCUUGCGG